rnacentral:rRNA from 1 species
AUUGAACGCUGGCGGCAUGCCUUACACAUGCAAGUCGAACGGCAGCGGGGGAGAAGCUUGCUUUUCCUGCCGGCGAGUGGCGAACGGGUGAGUAAUACAUCGGAACGUGCCCUGUAGUGGGGGAUAACUAGUCGAAAGAUUAGCUAAUACCGCAUACGACCUGAGGGUGAAAGUGGGGGACCGCAAGGCCUCAUGCUAUAGGAGCGGCCGAUGUCUGAUUAGCUAGUUGGUGGGGUAAAGGCCUACCAAGGCGACGAUCAGUAGCUGGUCUGACGGGACGAUCAGCCACACUGGGACUGAGACACGGCCCAGACUCCUACGGGAGGCAGCAGUGGGGAAUUUUGGACAAUGGGCGAAAGCCUGAUCCAGCAAUGCCGCGUGUGUGAAGAAGGCCUUCGGGUUGUAAAGCACUUUUGUCCGGAAAGAAAUGGCUCUGGUUAAUACCUGGGGUCGAUGACGGUACCGGAAGAAUAAGGACCGGCUAACUACGUGCCAGCCGCCGCCGUAA